rnacentral:lncRNA from 1 species
GGGCUCCUCCUUUCACAGAAUUAUUCCAGGAUUCAUGUAUCAGGGUGGUGACUUCACACGCCAUAAUGGCACUGGUGGCAAGUCCAUCUACAGAGAGAAAUUUGAGGAUGAGAACUUCAUCCUGAAACAUACAGGUCCUAGCAUCUUGUCCAUGGCAAAUGCUGGACCAAACACAAAUGGUUCCCAGUUUUUUAUCUGCACUGCCAAGACUGAGUGGCUGGGGCAAGCAUGUGGUCUUCGGGAAGGUGAAAGAAGGCAUGGACAUUGUGGAAGCCAUGGAGCGUUUUGGGUCCAGGAAUGGCAAGACCAGUAAGAAGAUCACCAUUUCUGACUGUGGACAACCCUAAUUUCUUUGACUUGCAGGCAUUUUACCCAUCAACUUUCUUCUGUAACUCGGGGGAGCACCCCCACCCCAUCUGCUCGCAAUACCCUGUAAUCUCUGCUCUCACUGAACUUCUUUGGGUUCCAUAUUUUCCUCAUUCCCCUUCAAGUCUAGCAGGAUUGCAAAGUUAAGUUUACGAUUAUGAAUAAAAACUAAAUAAGAACUGAAAAAAAAACUAA